AACGCACAUUGCGCCCGCCAGUAUUCUGGCGGGCAUGCCUGUUCGAGCGUCAUUUCAACCCUCAAGCCCUGCUUGGUGUUGGGGUCCUACGGCUGCCGUAGGCCCUGAAAGCUAGUGGCGGGCUCGCUACAACUCCGAGCGCAGUAAUGUAUCUCGCUAGGGAAGUGUUGCGGGUUCCGGCCGUUAAACCCCCCAAUUUCACAAGGUUGACCUCGGAUCAGGUAGGAAUACCCGCUGAACUUAA
rnacentral:misc_RNA from 1 species